CGGGACCUCUACGGAAGUGCCCACUAGACUGCCAGAGGUUUGCCUUUGUGCGCACGGGACCUCUACGGAAGUGCCCACUAGACUGCCAGAGGCCUCCAGCUCAUCUCCGCUAGCACAAAAGACCUUCAGGGAGGCAGCUGCCUACCCACUGUGGGUUCCUCUGCGGUGGACCCCAUGAAAAACAUCUCCCAAAGAAAGGAAAAAAAGAAAUGGCCCACUGUCCCACCAUCUCCGUAGGGUGCCGCCUGUGCCGUAGGGCUCCAAAGGAGGAAGUGGACUCAAAACAAAAAUCAGAACGUUACUUGGGAUGAAAUGGAGGGAAUGGGACCUGUCACACAGAGGCUUGUAUUGUCCGCAUCACUCUGGGGAGAAAACGGCUGGACCAGACGACCAUCCCAGCUUAGAAAACUGAGAAACAUCCAGAAUAAUGUUUAACCAAAUAUCUGGAUAGCGUGGCCUGGCAAGCUGACAUAAAAUGAACUACCCCAGGGGCAUCAAUUGGGGGAUGGAAUAAACUGACAACACAGUAACACCGAUGUGCACUACCAUACACUCUACUGUGAGUGAAGACAUAAGAUUUAUCCCAGCGGGAUGGUGGUGGCACAACCUUGAAUCCCAGCACUCAGGAGGAAGAGGAAGAGGCAGGUGGAUCUCUGUGAGUUCAAGGUCAGCCUGGUCCCAGAGCGAAUUCCCAAAACUACAGAGACACUGCCUUGAAAAACCAAAAGAAAAAAGCCUUCUCUGGGAAUGAACAUUGCCAUUGAGUACUUCAGAUUAAGCGACCUUACACUAAAAAUCCAAGCUCUUUCACACCAUCAGAAACAGCCACCGUACCUCCAGCACUAGUUGUUGUCGCUGCUGUCGUGGUGGCUGCAGCUGCUGCCACUGCUGGAGACUGAGGAGUUCCUGUACUCACUGCCUGGGGAGGAGCAUCAGUCACAGCCUGGCUCUCUCUAUCGCCAGGGAUUCCCUGCAACACAAUUUCCAAGCUUCGAGACAGCUCGCAAACACACAGGCUAAAUAUUAUGCAGUAAAACAG